rnacentral:tRNA from 1 species
CCUGUUAGUUUAAUGGUAAAACAACGGACUUUGACUCCGUCAUUAUUGGUUCAAUUCCAAUACAGGUUGCCA